rnacentral:misc_RNA from 1 species
GAUGAAGAACGUAGCGAAAUGCGAUAAGUAGUGUGAAUUGCAGAAUUCAGUGAAUCAUCGAAUCUUUGAACGCACAUUGCGCCCCUUGGUAUUCCAUGGGGCAUGCCUGUUCGAGCGUCAUUUGUACCUUCAAGCUUUGCUUGGUGUUGGGUGUUUGUCUCGCCUUUGCGUGUAGACUCGCCUUAAAAUAAUUGGCAGCCGGCGUAUUGAUUUCGGAGCGCAGUACAUCUCGCGCUUUGCACUCAUAACGACAGCGUCCAAAAGUACAUUUUACACUCUUGACCUCGGAUCAGGUAGGGAUACCUGCUGAACUUAAGCAUAUCAAUAAGCGGAGGA